AGAGUUUGAUCCUGGCUCAGGAUGAACGCUGGCGGCGUGCUUAACACAUGCAAGUCGAGCGAAGCGGUUGUGCGGAAUUUUUCGGAAGGAAGCAUAGCUGA
rnacentral:rRNA from 1 species